AAUAAAUGAAUAAAUGGCUACCAAAAAUUGAAAAAUGGAAAGAAAAAAAAAGGGAAAAGAAAAAGAGAAAGAAAGAGAGAGAAAAACAAACUGUCAGAAACUUCCCUUGUCUCUUAUAGACCAAACUACAUCCCCACGACAAUGGAAGUCGGAGGGCCAAGAUACACUACAACCAAUCGAAUUUGUAAUCUCACCAAUGAUCUUCUGACAGAAGAUCUAUGCAACUGGGCCCCACAGCUCUUUUCAAAGGAUAAGAAAUCUCUCAUCCAGAUUCCAAAUCAUCAUCCAUGUGAAAAGAUUGUCUGAACUGACGUGGGGUUUUGUGGAGUUGACAUAUGGAGGGUUUAGAGAGUAGAUAAGAUGUUGCAAAAGCAGAGAAACAAAACCCAGAAAAAGGAGCCGUAUUUAUAUAUCUCAUGUGAUUUUGCGCAAAUGGAGGCAUCAUGGGUUUGGUGAAAUUAACACGUUUCCGCUUCUAGCAUGUGGAUUUGAGGGGAUUGAAAGCUGCUGCUCUUUGUGUUUUUAUUAGAUUUCAGAUUUCUCAUCCACCCGGUGACCGUUCUGGUAAAUGACUUUGCUUGCACAUUUAGCACGCAAUGUGUGGUCGGUUCUAUUAUUUAUAUUUGAUUGUCGGGUUAAUAUCAUUAACUUUUUGGCUUAAAUAAAUUUUAUUCAUGUUUCAAAAAAAUUUAUCACCUUUUUCUUAAUUUACAAAAAACUAUUAUUCUCUUUUUUCAGCUGUAACUUAGUUGAACUUUUUACAAUCAAAGUUAUGUUGUAAUUAGUUUAAAUCUCAGAAAACUUAGAUGGAACAUUUCCUUAUUAGUAUCUGUGACAGAUACAAAUAAUAGUAUUUUAGAUUUUUUUCCACUUUUUAUUUUCCUUUAACAACGUUGUAAACGUAUUAUCUGUUGUGGUAAAUAUGGUUUUCUUUUUUAUAUAUUUUUGUCAAUCAUACAUAUAUAUAUGGUCAUAUGGUGCCAAAGUCAUAUAUAUGGUUGUCGGCCGAAAAAGGAAAAUCAGGUUCAGUGGGCCCAAUUCAGCAAAUACAAGCCCAACCUGCUAAUGACUAUUACGGGUUGGACUCUCCUACUCCUGGCCUCUUUUAUAGAAACCCAACCCAUUUGGUCGGCGUCAGCAAAGAACGAAGAUGGCAUUCUUGCAAUCAUCAAUACUAAGACUUAUAUCCCUUCUCCUUUGCCCUCUCCUGGUUUAUCAUUCUUGUAAUCAUCGGCCAGGAAAAAAUAGGAAGCUUCCCAGAUGAUAUUUACAAAGACAUGGAUAUAGAUAGCACAAUGAAGCUGGAUGGUUUAGUUUUUAACCAUAAACAGCAUCAUCCACCAAAGUACUUAUUUAGUUAGUUUUCAAUAGAUAGCUUGCCUUCAUUUUUCCAAUUUGUUUCUUGUAGACGAAAAUAGCAUGGCCGGGCUUCUAGUUGGAGGUGCUUUUCUCUCUGUUUCCCUUCAGUUGCUGUUUGAUAGGCUGGCUACUUGAGAGGUGGUUGACUUCGGGGGAAAGAAACUAAAUGACAAGAUGCUCAAGAAGUUGAAGAUUAAGUUGCUGUCAGCUAAUUCAGUGCUUACUGAUGCUGAGCAUAAGCAAAUCAGGAACCCAGCUGUGAGGGAGUGGCUUUCUCAACUCUAAGAAGCAUUCUAUGAUGCAGAUGACUUGGUGGAUGAGAUCAAUACCAAAGCUUUGCGAUGCAAAUUGGAAAGUGAAUCUGGAACCUGAAGCAGCACAAUUCAGGUACUCAACUUUGUGUUAACUACAUUCACUGCAUUUAACAAACAAGUAGAAUUGACGAUAGAUGAGAUCUUUAGAACAACAAGAUGCUCUUGGCCUCAAAGAAGGUGUUCAAAAUAGACCUUCAGGAAGAACACCUACAGCGUCUUUGGUAGAAGAAUCUGGUGUCUAUGGCAGGUAUGUUGACAAAAAGGUUUUACUUAAGGUGUUGCUAUCAGAUGUAGUUAGUGGCAAUAGGAUUUCUGUGAUUCCCAUAAUGAUGGCGAAGUUAAUCAGCAUUCAAGGCAUGGGUUUGUGUGUCUGAUUAUUUUGAAGUUUUUAGGAUCACAAAAUUAAUUUGUCAGUCUGUUACUACACAAGUAUAUGAUGUCACAGAUUUGAAUAAACUCCAAGCAAAAUUAAAGCAAAUAAUAAUGGGGAAGAAAUUUCUUUUCGUUCUAGAUGAUGUAUGGAAUGAGAACUGUGUUGAGUGGGAUGUUUUGAAAAGUCCUUUUGAAUGUGGAGCACAUGGGGGUAAAAUAAUCGUGAUCACACGCAGUGAAAAAAUAGCAAAUAUGAUGGGAAACAUUCCAAAUCACAAGCUAAAGAGUCCGAAGACGACUAUCGGUUGUUAUUUGCAAAACAUGCCUUUAAUAAUGUUGAGGUUGUUGCACAUUCUGAUUUGGAAGUUAUUGGUAAACAAAUUGUUAGAAAGUGUGGAGGUCUUCCUUUAGCUGUAAAAUCUCUUGGUGGUCUUUUGCGCUUUGGACUAAAUCCACAAGAAUGGAAAAAUGUACUAAAGGCCAACAUAUGGGAGUUGUCUGCGAAGGAAAAUAACAUAGUUCCUGCUCUAUGGUUGAGCUAUUAUUAUCUACCUUCACACCUUUAAAGAUGCUUUGCUUGUUGCUCAUUUUUUCCAAAAGGUUAUCGAUUUAAGAAGAAAAAAUUAAUUCUACUAUGGCUAUCAGAAGACCUUUUGGAGCCUCAUUUAAGGAAAAGAGCAGAAGAUGUUGGAGAAGAAUACUUCAACGAUCUGCUAUUCAAGGGCAUUCCUUAUUGGCUAUGAUUCUGAAUUAUUAUGCAUGACCUUAUGAGUGAUUUAGCUAAAUUUGUAUCUGGAGGUUUUUUAGACAUUUGAUGAUAAUUACUCACACCCUGUUGCAAGAAAAGUUCGCCAUUUGUCAUAUAUGAAAGGAUAUAUCAAUAACAGUAAAAUCCCUGAGGCAUUAGUUGAAAACAAGUAUUUGCACACAUUCCUACCACUUUCAAAUUGUUAUUUGCGGUUAUGAGCCAGAGCUGAUGUUCAAACAUCUUGAAGUAUUGCUGAAAAUGCGAUAUUUGAGAGUGCUUUCUCUUUCUAAAUGUCCAAUCGCGAAGUUGCCUGAUUCGUUUGUCAACUUAAGGCAUGUGAGGUACUUGAAUUUGUCUUGGACUGAUGUUCAGUACCUUAUAGUCUAUGUACACUGUACAAGUUGCAAAUAGUGCUUUUAAGUUGGUGUUGGAAUCCUAUUAGAUUGCCUGAUUCAAUUGGGAAUUUAAAGCAUCUAAGACACUUGGACCCAUCUCAUACUAGAAUAAAUGAAUUACCUGAAACAGUAACUUGUCCGAAUUGCAUAAAUUUUUAUUGUCUAAUUGUGAAAAUCUUACUCAUUUACCAACCAACAUGGCGACCCUAGUCAACUCAAGGCACCUCCAAUUGAGAACACUCCUUUGGAAGAGAUGCCACUACAUUUUUCCAAAAUGAAAAAUUUGAAAACAUUGAGUGGAUUUGUUAUAGGCAAAUAUGGUAGAAGUAAUAUUAAGGAAUUAAAAUUCAUGAUUUGCACGGAGGACUUCAUAUUUCAAGGCUUCAAAAUAUUCUAAAUGUUGGAGAUGUUUCGGAGGCCAAUUUGAAGAAUAAGAAGUAACUUAGUCAACUGAGGUUGAGUUGGGAGGGUGAUACAGAUAAUUCAGAGGAAGAUACAAAGGUACAGGAAAGACUUCAACCGCACACGAAUCUCAAGACACUUGAGAUUAUAAAUUAUGGAGCUACAAGCUUCCCUAAUUGGGUGGGACAUUAUGUGUAUUAAGUGAAGUAAUUCUAAAAGCUGUUAUUGGUUACAGCCACUUGGACAGCUACCCUUCCUCAAAAGAUUUGGUACACAGGAUUCACUAUGGUGGAAAGAAUAGGUGAUAAAUUUUAUUUUAAUGGCUCUUUCUCCAUGACUAAAUCAUUCAAGUCUUCAAAACUUUUAAGCUUUUCAAAAAUGUCAAUGUGGAAGGUGUGGUUACUGAUAGAAGGUGAACUUUUCUCACGUCUUGAGGUGCUUCAAUUGAAGUAUCGUCCAAUGCUAUAAAUCAAGCUUGCGUACCUGAUUAUCUUCCAUCCUUGAGACGUCUUCGCAUGAAGGGAAGUUACCAACUGGUGGCUUCACUCUGCAGGUAUCAAUAUCUUCAUUCCUUGGAAAUUUACUCUUGUGCAGAAGUGGAACCACUUCCUGAAGGGCCACUUCCAUCAAAUAUAGAUACCAUUGAAAUUGGAUACUGCACAGAAUUAAAGUCAUUUUCAGAAGAGGGAUGGCCUUCAAAUUUGAAAUCACUACAUGUUAGCGGUUGUCAAAAGCUAUUUUCGCACUACAUGCAGUGGUGUCUGCUAAGGCUCACAUCUUACAUAUUUAGCCAUCAGGCACAUAAAAGAAGAUUUGGAUUUGUUUCUAAAGGAAGGUCAACUUCCCACUAGUCUGACUACUUGAUCUGUGUGAUCUUUUCCUAACCUGAAAUCACUAAAUGGAAAGGCCUUCCAACGCCUCACCUCCCUUAAACACUUGUCAAUUCAACACUGCAAAGUGCAAACAGCUACAGUGCUUCCCAGAAGAAGGGUUGCCUGCAUCUUUUUCAGUCUUAAAUAUCUGUUUACUGUCCUUUGAUAGAACAAUGGCGCCAAAGAGAUACAGGAGAAGAUUGGCAGAAAGUUUCUCACAUUCCUCGCAUAGAGAUCUAUGAUAUGUUAUUGCUGUUUCUCUAUUUGCCAUACAUUUGUGUCAAAUGAUCUGGAAUUUAUUUUGUCUUUAAUUCCUCUAAAUUUACAUUAUUCAUGUCUGACCAAUCUGAAAAGGUUACUUCUGUGUUUCCCACUGUGGGAAAAAGACAUUAUUUCCAGAUAAGUGAUUGACUUCAAGUUUAAAAUCGUAAACUAGUUCCAAAUGAAGAAAGUUUCUUUGCUCAUUUGCAUGCACUGGGAUAUGCAAGCAUCAUCUGUCCUGCAUCCUUAAGUACCAGAUGCAUAAAUGAAUUGUUGGAUUCAGUUCCAGAGGGAAAGCCAAUCUUCCUGCUACCAGCUGCAGUGCUUGCCACAAGAAGGGCUUUCCAUGUCUCUUUCUUAUUUGACUGGGUACAAAUGUCCUUGCUCGGGAUCCAUUAAUUCAUAUGAUCAGCAUCAUGCAGAUGUGUCCCUGCAUGUCAUACAAAUGAACUCUCUAGUAACUGCCAUUUUCUGAUCAGAAAACCAUUAAGAUCUGCAAAGAGGUUCUCUUCUCUUUUGCUUAAUUGUAAGCAGUUGUACUUCUUUCAUUUAAAACACUGUUUGAAAUGAAUUCAUAGGGACAUUCAAUACCCCAAUUUGAAUGCAGUCAAUUUAUUUUUUAGUUUUUCCUUUUUUACUUUUUUUUUUUUUUUUUUUUUGGUGGGGUCCGAACUGUCCAUUUUCUAUAAACGUUGUUGGUGUGUUAAGACUUUUUUCUUCAGUGCUGAUGAACUUUUUGUAUGAUUUAGUUCCAAGUGUGAUAAACUAUGCUGGCAAUAUUGGAAGCAAAAGUUGUUCAAUUGACAUUUGCUGAUUCAGUAAUGCCAAGAUGAUGGCUUUCAAAUUCAAUUCUACAAUUUCUGACCAGUUUGGCAUUCAGGUAACUAGCACCUACUUUAGACACUUCAAUUGCUUCAAACAGCUUAUGAGAUUUGAAUCCUUAUCCAGGAAGGUAUAAAAUUUAACUUCUAGCAAUUCCAACAUAUGAAUCCAGGGGUUUGUACUCACUUAUUUUCACUGCUAUUAAAUCUGCGGCCCUGGUCUUUUGCUUUCAGAAGCUCCUGUAGCAAUGGAUUAAUUUCAGAUGUUGGUUUCCAAAAUGGACUUUCUUAGUUCAUUCAGUUAAGGUAAAAAAAAGUUGUAGAUUUUGCCUCAAAUCAAAAGAUAAGUAUGUAUGUAUGUAUUCCACACAUGCUUUAUCUAAGAUGAUGGAUAUUUAUGCUGGAAUUUAACCAUCUUUUGAGCAUAUCACAGCAUGACUGCGCCAUUUGUAGAAGAACUUCUGCUAUUUGUGAAAUUGCUUCUUUGUAGGUUGUCACAAUCUUGCUUUCUCAUAUUACAGCCUUGGCUGCAAUCACUAUCCCCUUGCGGAAUUUGAUAGUUUGCUUGUGUCUUUGUUAAACUGGCUUGCCAGUUUUGAAACCAUUUUUGUCUAACUGGUUAGUCGGAGAUGUCAUUUUAUUGCAGACUAAAGAGAAUGAAGUCUGCAUCAAAAGAAUGUCUUUGCAAUUAGUUCAUUUGUCAAAGUGGGAAAACUCAGUCUUUGCCAUGCUGGCAAGCUUUCAAAGGGCAGAAGAAGAAGAAUGUCUACACUGACGUGGGGAAUCUCGAAUUGACAUGUGGCGUGGUUGCAAUCCAGAUUAGAUAUUGCAAAAGCAGAGAAACAAAGACCCAGAAAAAGAGCUGUAUUUUGUAAGUCCAUCUGAUUACGCAAAUAGAGGUGUCAAGGUUUGUUGGUUGCAAUUAUAAACUAACACGUUUCUGCAUAUGAAUCAUGAUCAAAAGCGGUGGUCCUUUUUCUUUUUUUUUUUGUUUUUUGAUGAAGGCGGUGAUCUUUUGGCUACACAUUUCGCUUGUUGCACGCAGAACUUGGUCGCUCCUAUUAAUAUUGUCGAUUUCUAUGAGAAAUAAUUAUAUGCUUUAUAAGUUGUGGUA